GCCAGGGAGAGAAUUCAGUGAGGGCCCCAGGGCUCUUUGGAAGGGGGCAAGUUAUUCCCUGUCCCUCGGAGUGGCUGGGAAAUGAGACCUUUCCCCCUCCACGCUCCCUGCCCCACAGCCCCUUGCACCAGUCAGAGCUGCAAAUCUAGGCUAGGGACUCCCUGGAUUGGCCUGAAAGAAGCCUCCCCAGCAGCACCUUCCCCACCACACCCUGUAAUCAGGAUGAACCCAACUCUGCACCGGGCCACGCGGUGUUGCCAUGGGGAAGAUUGUGAUACAGGGCCUAAUUUGUACAGAAGAGUCCUGUGUACACCCAGAGACAGAAAGACACAGGGAGGCCCAGGUACACCCAUUCUCUCUCUCUCUCUCUCUCUCUCUCACCCAUCCACUCACACAAUUUCUCCAUUGUGGGGUGUCUGUCUAUUUGUCACACUGCCUACAUCCACCCUGCUGUGCAGAUAUGACACACACAGAGGAUGAUUUGCAGGAGUUUUUCUCCCAAUUAUUCACUGUGGCACAGGCCUGGGGUGUGUCUCUCUCACACCAUCUACACAGGAGUGAUCCCUAGGCACACACGCAUGAGUACACACCGUGGCUUCAGUAGCAGUUUGUCUGCCUGGUCAGUAUUUCAUUUCCCUCUCUUUUCCCCCUUCCCCCAGUCGCGGCAAGAGCCUGUGUGAGGGGCCGGAGGGGACACAGCAGAACGAAUGCUGGGUGCUGUCUCCACAGACACAGCCCCUCUCGCCUCAUUCCCAGGGGCUGGAGCCAGUUUCCAGCCAAGGAACAAGAAGAGAUGUAUUUCUCGCUCUCGGCUCCCUUGAUGCGCACACGGCUCCCAAAGGUGUCCGUCUCCACAAUCAGCUUUGCUGCAAGGAUGAGAGAAAGAGAGAGAGGGAGAAAACCAAACCAAACCAAACUCCUUCCACCGAUGCUAGAGUGAGUGCCGGCCAGUCUGCGUGUCCGGGGGUCAGUGUGCGCACUCAGGCCCAUGCAGAGAUCCAGAAGAGCAUAGGGAGUGCAUUAAAAACAAAUGCCCAAACAGCACACACAGACUGUGCUACCAGCGGUUACAUUAUCUCGGCUCUGGGGGACAGACAACCCAGUGGUUAGGACACCUGGCUAGUACUUCCCUGCUAUACCACAAACUCCCCAGGUGACCUUGGGCAAGAUACACAGGGCACAUCUACGCUUGGAUGUAGGAUUCCCAGCUCAAGAAGAGGGACCCAAUCGUGCGUGCUAACAAUAAAGUGUAGCUGCUAACUGCCCUGAGUAUGCACUCCUCCCAAACAACAGGCAUGUGGGCUGGGGUGGCUAGCUGCUCAUGCUUCUGCUGUUACGCUCUGUUUUUAGCACGUUUGCUCCAUCAGAGCUAGUGUGCAUAGGUCUCCUCGAGCUGGAGAUUAGUGUCGAAACGUAGGCACACCCUCACUCUCUGUGUGCCUCAGGUCCCCAUUGUACCAGGGGGAUAACAGCAGUGCCCAGCCUCAGAGGGGGGCGUGGGGACACAUCUCAUUGAAUUGUCCCAGUACAUGGUGCUUUCCGCCCUGCAGGUAACAGGACCAUGAUACAGAAAUCGGAGUUAGACAGUAACCCAGCAGGAAAGCUGCCAGAGGGGAUGGCUAGAGUGUCCAAGCCUCUGGUUUGUAGUUCUGUUCUUACGUCUCUAGCAAUCCACUGCCCCUUUCAUCUGAGAAGCAAAGGGAAGCACAUACCUAGCACAGAUAACUUGCCCACUUACCUCAAGGAUCUAUGAGGACAGGGCGAAAGCCAGGGCUGCUGCUUUGAUCAAAUCAGGAAAUAAAGGAGGCAUCUAUUUACAAACAGCAGCACAGUCUAGUAGCUAAGAUAGGUUUCAGAGAAGCAGCUGUGUUAGUCUGUAUCCGCAGAGAGAACAGGAGGACUUGUGGCACCUUAGAGACUAACCAAUUUAUUUGAG